rnacentral:rRNA from 1 species
ACUCAAAGGAAUAGACGGGGGAGCGCACAACCAGUGGAGCGUGUGGUUUAAUUCGAUACGAAGCGAAAAACCUUACCUGGAUUUGACAUGUAGCCGUAUGUUUUUGGGGAAACUCGAAUUCCUCCAGGCUACACAGCUGCUGCAUGGCUGUCGUCAGCUCGUGCCGUGGGGUGUCGGCUUCAGUGCCGUAACGAGCGCAACCCCUAUUUUGUGUUAAAUUGUACACAAGAGACUGCCUGCCGAUGAGGUAGGAGGAAGGCGGGGAUUACGUCAAGUCAGCAUGGCGCUUACAUCCAGGGCUACACACACCCUACAAUGGGUCGGACAACGGGUCGCCAAGCCGCAAGGCGGAGCUAAUCCUUCAAACCGGCCCUCAGUUGGGAUUGCGGGCUGCAAUUCGCCCGCAUGAACUUGGAAUUGGUAGUAAUCGCGGAUCAGCAGGCCGCGGUGAAUACGUUCUCGCUCCUUGUACACACCGCCCGU